CCUACGGGAGGCAGCAGUGGGGAAUAUUGGGCAAUGGACGCAACUCUGACCCAGCAACGCCGCGUGAAUGAUGAAGGUCCUCGGAUUGUUAAGUUCUUUUUUUAGGGAAGAAGAAAGUGACGGUACUUCAGGAAUAAGCCUCGGCUAACUACGUGCCAGCAGCCGCGGUAUUACGUAGGAGGCAAGCGUUAUCCGGAUUGAAUGGGCGUAAAGGGUGUGUAGGUGUUUUGACAAGUUAGUAGCGCAACUCCGGGGCUCAACUUCGGAACUACUACUAAAACUGUUGGACUUGAGUGCAGGAGGGGCAAUCGGAAUGCGUGGUGUAGCGGUGGAAUGCAUAGAUAUUAGGAGGAACACCAGUGGCGAAGGCGGAUUGCUAGACUGUAACUGACACUGAGGCACGAAAGCGUGGGGAGCAAACAGGAUUAGAUACCCGAGUAGUC
rnacentral:rRNA from 1 species